ACGCUGGCGGCGUGCCUAAUACAUGCAAGUAGAACGCUGAAGGAGGGGCUUGCUUCUCUGGAUGAGUUGCGAACGGGUGAGUAACGCGUAGGUAACCUGCCUGGUAGCGGGGGAUAACUAUUGGAAACGAUAGCUAAUACCGCAUAAUAGUAGAUGUUGCAUGACAUUUGCUUAAAAGGUGCAAUUGCAUCACUACCAGAUGGACCUGCGUUGUAUUAGCUAGUUGGUGGGGUAACGGCUCACCAAGGCGACGAUACAUAGCCGACCUGAGAGGGUGAUCGGCCACACUGGGACUGAGACACGGCCCAGACUCCUACGGGAGGCAGCAGUAGGGAAUCUUCGGCAAUGGACGGAAGUCUGACCGAGCAACGCCGCGUGAGUGAAGAAGGUUUUCGGAUCGUAAAGCUCUGUUGUAAGAGAAGAACGAGUGUGAGAGUGGAAAGUUCACACUGUGACGGUAUCUUACCAGAAAGGGACGGCUAACUACGUGCCAGCAGCCGCGGUAAUACGUAGGUCCCGAGCGUUGUCCGGAUUUAUUGGGCGUAAAGCGAGCGCAGGCGGUUAGAUAAGUCUGAAGUUAAAGGCUGUGGCUUAACCAUAGUACGCUUUGGAAACUGUUUAACUUGAGUGCAAGAGGGGAGAGUGGAAUUCCAUGUGUAGCGGUGAAAUGCGUAGAUAUAUGGAGGAACACCGGUGGCGAAAGCGGCUCUCUGGCUUGUAACUGACGCUGAGGCUCGAAAGCGUGGGGAGCAAACAGGAUUAGAUACCCUGGUAGUCCACGCCGUAAACGAUGAGUGCUAGGUGUAGACCCUUUCCGGGGUUUAGUGCCGUAGCUAACGCAUUAAGCACUCCGCCUGGGGAGUACGACCGCAAGGUUGAAACUCAAAGGAAUUGACGGGGGCCCGCACAAGCGG
rnacentral:rRNA from 1 species